UUUCCUAAUUGUACCUACAUGCAGUCCUCCUUUUUUAAUUGUCAAAUUACAUACUUUAAUUUGUUUUUUCAAUCGAUUCAACCAAAUUUCCACAUCUCUAUCCGUUAUCUUAUCAAACAAUAUUUUUCUGACAUUUUUAAUGACUUGCAGUAAAUUUUCAGAUUUUUUUACAAUAUUCAUGGUACUCACCUCUCUCUCUCUCUGUGUGUGUCUUAGGCACGUCUAUAGUUCCUCAAUUUCAAAUGACGCUAGCCGUUGAUUUUUUCCAACAUCCACUAAUCCCUUGAAUAUAAUUCCGUAUUUUUCCUUUUCAAAUUCUUCAAUGACUGGUUUGUAGACACUUGUGACUCUUUGCGGUAAAAACACUACUUCUGUAUCUAAAUCCAAUAAAACUGAUUCUCCGAAUUUGGAAUUGACUAUUUUUGCCUUCUUUAUAGCCCUCAGAGUAUUCAAAGGUAGAUCUUGUAUUUUUGUUAUUGGUUUUCUCUCUGUAAUUAGAGACGUUGCGUUAAUUUUUUUUAAAUCCAUCCAUUUUUUGUUAAGGCACAAUUUUAACAGAUACUAGUAAUUGUUCUUCAGAGCUGGUUUCUCUUGCUGGCAGUGGAAGAGACCGACUCCAACACAAUGCAACAUCUUAUUUAUACUCAUGUCACUAUCUCCAUACGAUUGUGAUAGAAUGUUCUAGAAAAAUAUUUUAUUUGUGAUAAUUUUGUAAUUUUGUAAUUUCCUGUAAAUGUGGUCCAUAUGGUUUCCGAAUAUUCUAAUAAAUUUUCACUAUUUCCUGUACAUGUGGUCCAUUUGGUUUAGAAAUAUUCUUUUCAAUUUCCUGCGUUAUCAAAAAAUUUCUUAUUAAUAGGUAAAAGUUAUCUUAAGAUUGGCGUUCGGGAAUUUCAAAAAAAAAAAAUUUUAAUAAGAGUUUAUUUAAAAUAUACAACAUCAUUGAUAAAAAGAAAUUAUUUUUGUUAAUAAAAUUUUGAGAUGAUUUAAAAGGUCUCCAUUUGGACAUGGAAUAUCGAACACGUUCCAAUUACAGGGUCCGGCUGCAACAAGUUUUUUGGUAAACUCAAUAUAUUUGUAGUAUGUGGUGUUUUUGAAAAAGUACAUGUGUCCGUCAAUGUACUGGAAUGCUCCUGUAACAUCUGUGGGUAGUCCAGGGAAAAUAUCUUUUAUUUGUCCUCUAUUCCGAACAGUUUUCAAGUUCUUGUCAAAUUCAAUAUAAUUACUGUUAUAAAAUACAUAUAUUUUCCCAUGAUUGCUUUGAAACAUUGUGUUUAUUUGAGAAUUCUUAGGUAUAAUUAAAUUAUUUUCCUCAAGUAUUUGUAGAGCGGAAAAAUCUGCUACAUAGUAUUUACGGUCAUUGACUGCUAUUAAAUUAUCUGAAGAACUUUGAAAAAUCUGAAUUAUGGGACCCACUUCUUCAGAUAAAUAAUCAUCGAAUAUUUCUGGUUGCGAGGGAAUAAGUUUCGAGUUCAAAUCAAUUUUCCAUAGGGAAUUUUCAUUAAUAAUAUAUAAAUGGUAAUUUUCAAAUUCACCAGCCAUGGCAAUGAACAUAUACUCCGGUGUUAUGACGCAUAAAUUUUUAUCCGAUUCAUUUGGUUGAUGUGCAAGUGUCUGUAGUCGGUGGCAGCACUGAUGUGGGUUUGAAAGGAUUAUUUACAUAUGUAUUGAUUGGUCUAUAAAGAGCUUCAAGGGCAAUUUUAUCAUCCUCAUCCAAUUUAGAAGCAAUGUUGAAUUGAUACCAUGGAUACAUUAUUGCUGUCUCAAUAUCACUGUGAGCAAUUCCUAAAAUAUGCCCAAUUUCAUGAAUUAAUACCAUAAGUAGGCUAGUCUGAUCUUCUGAACUUGAUCCAUCCAAACUUAAAUCCCACUUCUCAUCAGCAUCAAUAUGAAGCUCUAUACAACUGUUGCCUUUUGGGAAAUAAGCAUGUGCCAACACCUUUCCGGGGCCAUCAAAUGUACUGGAGCACUCACCUCUACCUUGGCAAUUUGCUCGAAAAUAGUGCUUUCCCCGUACAACUGUAAUAGAUAUAUCGGGAGCAUAAGGCCGUAUUUUGUGUAUUAAUUCAAAUUUAAACUUUGAACUGUUACUCCACACUUCAAAAGCCUUUUUGAUUACUUACCUGAUGAGUUUUCAUGAAUUUCUAUUUAUAAGUGGAAUUAUUCAGAAACAGUUAGUUUCGUUUACAAAAAUAACAAUUGUUCUAAUUCUUUUCUCAUGUUUUAUAUCUAAUUUUAGCGUUUUUCAUCUAAAUAAUAAUGGUGCAGUAUUGGGCACCUGGCUGUAAGCAUUACAAUGUCAGAGAGCGUUGUAAGUUUUAUAGAUUUCCAAAGGAUCCAAAAGUUAGAAGCAAAUGGAUAAAGCCAACAAGAAGAACAACAGAACCAGGUCCCGGAGCUUUUUUGUGUAGUAGUCAUUUUGUAGAUGGAAGAAAAGAAAAUGGGCCAACCAUUUUUUUACACAAUGAAGGAAAAAUGUUUCACGACCAAUAUCCCCAAAAAAAGAAAAGACCACUUCAAGAUGGGUUGGAGUAACCCAACUAGCAAGGGCACGUCAUAAUGACGUCAACAUUUGGUGAUCACUGGUCGAAAACACUGAGACCACCAAAAAUCGACGUGAUAAUAACGUCAAAUAAUUGACGUGUAUAACACGACAUCUUGUCACGUCAUAAUGACGAGACUAUCUAGUGAUAACUCAUCUGAAAAAAUCAGAUAUAUUUCAUUUGUUUUAUUUUGUGACUAAUGUAAUUAUUUUGUGAGGCUAUUUUCGAUAAUAAACAACCAUGA